UUUCAUCAUAAUGUGUCCUCUGAUAAUUGCUUAGACAUCAUCUACCACGCUAGUUGCUGAUGUGGCAGGUGACGUGGCAUGCCACGUGGCAGGUGAUGUGGCACGUGACAUGGCAUGCCGCGAGAUAGGUGACUUAGCGCAAGUGGGACCAUGGCGCCAGCUAGUGGGACCUAGACGUGGGGACCUCUUAGUGGGAAGCAGUCGUCACAUCAUCGUUGUGGGGCCUCCUAGUGGGACUCAGGAACCAUGUCCUAGAGGUGGUACACUGCACAAACGAUCUAUGACGAUUUAGUUUCGUUGUUCAAUGACGUUCUUUUCCUUUUUGUCACUGUUCUUCGUGCCAAAGCUCUGCCACUUCUCACCCAUGAUGAAGCCACCAUUUUCGUCAUAGAAAAAGCUUGUUCUGUGACGAAAAAAGUAAGUGUCAUUGAUGAACACAUUUCUAGUAGUGGCUCUUGUUGAGAGGAUGGUCAUGCUCCUAAGAUCAAGAUCAGUUACACCAACAUAUAUCCUACUGCUUCUACCCUGGGAGUACGCAAAAACAUGCCUUUUCACCCCAAAAUCUAUAUCUUACACUAGGAGAAGAUCCAAAAAGAUUUUUUUUUGACUAGUGAAGAUCUAAAAAGAUUGUUAGGUUUCCAAAUAAAUGCUCCAAGAUUGUGAUUUAUCUCUUCUCCAAGUAUAUUGCAUCCUAAGUAUGAGGCAAGAGAUAAUUUGUAAAAAAAAAGAGAAAAAGAAAAAAGAGAAAGAAAAAAAAGAGAGAAGUCUAUGAUCUCUAUGACUAGAAGUUCAUCAUUGUCACUAAAGAAAGGAGGAAGACGAUAUCCCAAGACCUCCACAACAAAGUUCUUCAUAAAUUCUUUAGUUGGAGGCAGUCUCUCUAUGAGCAAAGUAGAGUUAGGUUAGCCACCAAAUAUUUUCCACACACAUACACAUCUUGAUCUAAUGGUACGGUCUCCCCUCUGAGGAUCCCAGUUUUGACUAAGCAACACAUGCAAGGUGAGUACGCUACAUCCUUGAAAUACCCUCAGCUCCAUAUAAGCCUAUUAGUUAUAGGGUAAUACAUAGAAGGAAUGAUGCUACUCUGCCUUAUUCUGAAAAUACUAUAUAUUCUGAGUGAAAGAGAGAAGGCAAAACACAUGCAAGGUGAGUAUGAUACAUCCUUGAAAUACCCUCAGCUCCAUAUAAGCCUAUUAGUUAUAGGGUAAUAGAUAGAUGGCAUGAUGCUACUCUGCCUUAUUCUAAAAAUACUAUAUAUUCUGAGUGAAAGAGAGAAGGCAAAACACAAUCUUCACCUUGGUAAGGAUCCAAAAAUACCACAUAUGAGAGACAAAAAAGGGUCAUUAAAGGAAUCUCUAAGUUUUAUUUCAAAAAUCUACAAAAACUCCAGAAUGAAGGUUGAUCCAAGAAUUUGGAACACAGUGCUUGAUUUGAUUGUUCUAUCUUUCAAUUACUCAAGACCCAAGUGAAGGCUAAAAGCUCCAUAGUUGAAGGUAAUGAGUAAGUUUGAAGUUAGAAUGGUUUGCUCUAAUCCGAAGGAGAAUUCUUGUUUAAACGCAUGUGUACUG
rnacentral:lncRNA from 1 species